GGUCAGGGCGAUACUUCAAGCAGG
rnacentral:miRNA from 1 species